rnacentral:lncRNA from 8 species
AUGGACUGUGGUAUAAUAAUAUUCUCUCUUUUUCUGUUGGCUGCUUCAGGACAGAGGCUGCAACAGGACCAGAUAUCAGAGACUAAGAGAGAGAAAGAGAGUGUCACCUUCAGCUGCAAAGUUACUGGUUCGUGUUCAGGUAACAAAGUCUACUGGUACCAGAAGAAAGAGGGUGAAGCCUUCACUUGGAUUAAUUUUGAUGCCAAUUCUGGCAGCAGUGAUACCCCUCAUCCUCAGAGACAAGAUUUCUAUAUUUGGAGGGAGUCUGCGUCUCACCCCAGUGAGCUGAAGAUCCAGUUCGUUAAAGUGUCCCAUUCUGCCACCUAUUACUGUGCCUGUAGGGUCUUAGGAACCCACAGUGAGAACUGAUCCACAUAGCCUGUACAAAAACUCUGUGGUUUUAAUCAAGCUUUGAAUUCAUGAAAAAGGUUUCUAUACAGGAGUAAGUGACAUAAUAAGACGUUCGAUUGAAGUGUCUUCUUCAAAUCCAAAGUGAAAUGCAAUUAUAAAAGGAAUUAUAAAUACAUAAUAAGCAAGAUGUCUUGCAAAUGAGCAAACAGUGUCUAAAUCGCAUCUUCUUGCUGUGUCCUGUAUACGUACAUUGUGUGCAGAGGUUUGUGUGCUAUCUGGGUAUAACGGUCUGAAUAUCUUAUUUACAGUUCAAGUCGGAAGUUUACAUACACUUAGAUUGGAGUCAUUAAAACUCAUUUUUCAACCACUCCCCAAAUUUCUUGUUAACAAAUGAUGGUUUUGGCAAGUUGGUUAGGACAUUUACUUUGUGCAUGACACAAGUAACUUUUUCCAACAAUUUUCCAACAAUUGUUUACAGACAGAUUAUUUCACUUAUAAUUCACUGUAUCACAAUUCCAGUGGGUCAGAAGAUUACAUACACUAAGUUGACUGUGCCUUUAAACAGCUUGGAAAAUUCCAGAACAUUAUGUCAUGGCUUUAGAAGCUUCUGAUAGGCUAAUUGACCUCAUUUGAGUCAGUUGAAGGUGUACCUGUGGAUGUAUUUCAAGGCCUACCUUCAAACUCAGUGCCUCUUUGCUUGACAUCAUGGGAAAAUCAUAAUAAAUCAGCCAAGACCUCAGAAACAAAAUUGUAGACCUCCACAAGUCUGGUUCAUCCUUGGGAGCAAUUUCCAAAUGCCUGAAGGUACCACGUUCAUCUGUACAAACAAUAGUAUGCAAGUAUAAACACCAUGGGACGACGCAGCCGUCAUACCACUCAGGAAAGAGACGCGUUCUGUCUCCUAGAGAUGAACGUGCUUUGGUGCGAAAAGUGCAAAUCAAUCCCAGAACAACAGCAAAGGACCCUGUGAAGAUGCUGGAGGAAACAGGCACAAAAGUAUCUAUAUCCACAGUAAAACGAGUCCUAUAUCGACAUAACCUGAAAGGCCGCUCAGCAAGGAAGAAGCCACUGCUCCAAAACAGCCAUAAAAAAGCCAGACUCCGGUUGGCAACUGCACAUGGGGACAAAAACUGUACUUUCUGGAGAAAUGUCCUUUGGUCUGAUGAAACAAAUAUAGAACUGUUUGGACAUAAUGACCAUCGUUAUGUUUGGAGGAAAAAGGGGGAGGCUUGUCAGGAAUUGUGAAAAACUGAGUUUAAAUGUAUUUGGGUAUGUAAACUUCCGACUUCAACUGUACAUAAGUAAUCAGAUCGUUUGCUAUGAGACAUGAAAUUGAUAUCAGUUAAAUCCAAGUUUCCAUUUAUCAUCCUUGAGAUGUUUGUACAACUUGAUUGGAGUCCACCUGGGCUAAAUUUAAUUGAUUGGACAUGAUAUGGAAUGGCACACCCCUGUCUGUGUAAGGUCCCACAGUUGACAGUGCAUGUCAGAGGAAAAACCAAGCCAUGAGGUUGGAGGAAUUGUCCGUAGAGCUCCGAGACAGGAUUGUGUUGGGGCACAGAUUUGGGGAAUGGUACCAAAAAAUAUCUGCAGCAUUGAACGUCCCCAAAAACACAGUGGCCUCCAUCAUUUUAUAGUAACGUUAUUAAUAUGCAUGAUGAAGCCUCUGUUUUGAAACCAUUGGAUUCAGUAUCCAUUCAGCAAUAUGUUUUAUCAUUGGGGACGAUUUUAAAACUCAUCACUGUAUUCUUUACAAACAUGUGGGAUGGACCUCUUUGUCUGUAAGACGAGAGCUGCACUCUCUUAUAUGUAUUUACUAUGCAGUUUUGAAAUGCUUUUAGUUUUUUUGGAACAAAAUGCAGAAUUCCUAGCAAUUAGAUAUUCUGGUGCCUUUCAGGCAUUUUUAAUUAUUGAUUGGAGACUUUUACAUUACAGAAUGUGAUUGCUUUUCUUAAAUACAGUAUAUUUAAUGUUGUGUAUUAUGUGUUUAAUUAUACUGUUUUGUAGGGCUGUUGUGUUUUAUUUAUGAAUUUGGUUUUAUUUGUAAAUGUAUACAGAGCUCUCUUGUAAAAUAGUUUUAUCUCAAUGUGAGUCCCUGUUCAAAAAAAGGUUAAUAAAAUUCUGAAAUGGAAGAAGUUUGGAACCAUCAAGACAAUGUCCUUGAGUGGUCCAGCCAGAGCCCGGACUUGAACCUGAUAGAACAUCUCUGGAGAGACCUGAAAAUAGCUGUGCAACGACGCUCCCCAUCCACCAUCACAGAACUUGAGAGGAUCUGCAAAGAAUAGUGGGAGAUGCUCUCCAAAUACAGGUGUGCCAAGCUUGUAGAAUCACACCCAAGAAGACUGGGCUGUAAUCACUACAAAAAUUGCUUCAACAAAGUAAUUAGUAAAGGGGUCUGAAUACUUAUGUAUUUAUUCCAUUUUUAAAUAAGGCUGUAACUUAACAAAAUGUGAAAAAAGUCAAGGGGUCUGAAUAUUUUCUGAAAACACUGUAUGCAUCUGUUGGUCACAGAUAACUUUUUAAGAAAUGGACUGGUGUAAACCAGUUAGUAUCUGGCGUGACCACCAUUUGCCUCAUGCAGCGUGACACAUCUCCUUUGUAUAUAGUUGAUCAGGCUGUUAAUUGUGGCUGUGGAAUUAUCAAUUAUCUAGCAACAGCUCUUGUGGACAUUCUUUCAUGCCAAUUGCAGGCUCCCUCAAAACGUAUUGUGCUGUGUGACAAAACUGCACAUUUUAGAUGGGCCUUUUAUUGUCCCAAGCACAAGGUGCAACUUUGUAAUGAUCAUGCUGUUUAAUCAGCUUCUUGAUAUGUCACACCUGUCAGGUGGAUGGAUUAUCAUGGCAAAGAAGAAAUGCUCACUAACAAUGAUGUAAACAAAUGUAUGCACAAAAUUUGAGGGAAGCAAGCUUUUUGUGAGUAAAGAACAUUUCUGGGAUCUUUUAUUUCAGCUCAUGAAGCAUGGGACCAACACUUUACAUGUUGCAUUUAUAUUUUAGUUCUGUGUGUGUGUGUGUGUGUGUGUAUGUCUAUACACUGCUCAAAAAAAUAAAGGGAACACUUAAACAACACAUCCUAGAUCUGAAUGAAA